GACGAACGCUGGCGGCGUGCUUAACACAUGCGAGUCGAACGGAAAGGCCCUGCUUUUGUGGGGUGCUCGAGUGGCGAACGGGUGAGUAACACGUGAGUAACCUGCCCUUGACUUUGGGAUAACUUCAGGAAACUGGGGCUAAUACCGGAUAGGAGCUCCUGCUGCAUGGUGGGGGUUGGAAAGUUUCGGCGGUUGGGGAUGGACUCGCGGCUUAUCAGCUUGUUGGUGGGGUAGUGGCUUACCAAGGCUUUGACGGGUAGCCGGCCUGAGAGGGUGACCGGCCACAUUGGGACGGAGAUACGGCCCAGACCCCUACGGGAGGCAGCAGUGGGGAAUAGUGCACUAUGGGCGGAAGCCUGAUGCAGCAACGCCGCGUGCGGGAUGACGGCCUUCGGGUUGUAAACCGCUUUCGCCUGUGACGAAGCGUGAGUGACGGUAAUGGGUAAAGAAGCACCGGCUAACUACGUG
rnacentral:rRNA from 1 species